GCCUGGGUGGCUCAGUUAAGCAUCUGGCUUCAGCUCAGGUCAUGAUCUCACAGUUCGUGGGUUCAAGUCCCAUGUCGGGCU
rnacentral:tRNA from 1 species